rnacentral:rRNA from 1 species
AUACGGAGGGUGCAAGCGUUGUUCAGAAUUACUGGGCGUAAAGCGCGUGCAGGCGGUAAGGUAAGUCAGAUGUGAAAGCCCCGGGCUCAACCCGGGAAGUGCAUUUGAUACUGCCUUUCUUGAGUAUGGGAGAGGAGAGUGGAAUUCCCAGUGUAGAGGUGAAAUUCGUAGAUAUUGGGAGGAACACCCGUGGCGAAGGCGACUCUCUGGACCAAUACUGACGCUGAGACGCGAAAGCGUGGGGAGCGAACAGGAUUAGAAACCCCGGUAGUCC